GUGCGUGUGCUGGAAUUGGUAGACAGGCCAGCUUGAGGUGCUGGUGUUUCGGCGUGCGGGUUCGAGUCCCGCCAUGCACA
rnacentral:tRNA from 1 species